CGCGUAGGUGGUAGUGUAAGUCUGGGGUGGAAUCCCAGGGCUUAACCCUGGAACUGCCUUGGAAACUGCAUUACUUGAGUCAGUGAGGGGAGGGUAGAAUUCCUGGUGUAGCGGUGAAAUGCGUAGAUAUCAGGAGGAAGGCCUGUGGCGAAGGCGGCCCUCUGGCGCUGGACUGACACUGAGGCGCGAAAGCGUGGGGAGCAAACAGGAUUAGAUACCCUGGUAGUCCACGCCCUAAACGGUGGGCACUAGGUGUAGGGCUCGUAAGGGUUCUGCGCCGAAGGGAAACCAUUAAGUGCCCCGCCUGGGGAGUACGGCCGCAAGGUUGAA
rnacentral:rRNA from 1 species